AUUCCUACGGGAGGCAGCAGUAGGGAAUAUUGGACAAUGGGCGCAAGCCUGAUCCAGCCAUGCCGCGUGAGUGAAGAAGGCCUUCGGGUUGUAAAGCUCUUUUGUCCGGAAAGAAAAGCUUCGGGUUAAUACCCUGGAGUCCUGACGGUACCGGAAGAAUAAGCACCGGCUAACUUCGUGCCAGCAGCCGCGGUAAUACGAAGGGUGCAAGCGUUACUCGGAAUUACUGGGCGUAAAGCGUGCGUAGGUGGUUUGUUAAGUCUGAUGUGAAAGCCCUGGGCUCAACCUGGGAAUGGCAUUGGAUACUGGCAGGCUAGAGUGCGGUAGAGGGUAGUGGAAUUCCCGGUGUAGCAGUGAAAUGCGUAGAGAUCGGGAGGAACAUCUGUGGCGAAGGCGACUACCUGGACCAGCACUGACACUGAGGCACGAAAGCGUGGGGAGCAAACAGGAUUAGAUACCCUGGUAGUCCACGCCCUAAACGAUGCGAACUGGAUGUUGGGCUCAACUUGGAGCUCAGUAUCGAAGCUAACGCGUUAAGUUCGCCGCCUGGGGAGUACGGUCGCAAGACUGAAACUCAAAGGAAUUGACGGAAU
rnacentral:rRNA from 1 species